rnacentral:lncRNA from 1 species
AACUUGCAGCUUCAAAUGCAAGUGUCCUCCCCCAAGUGGAAACAUGUCUUCCCAACCUGAUAUGUGCUCCUGCCAAUUAAUUACUGCAUCAUGUUAGAAACAUUUAAUCUUUGAUCAACUUUAGAAAAUAUAACUAAACCUUUCUAUCAAAUGAAAUCUUAUCAAUCAAAAUAUAACCUGCACGUGAUAUUUCAUUUCCUUCAGCAUCCUGAAUUUGGAAAGAAAAAAAAAACAGAAAUUACCAUAAAACAUUAAGAACAUAAGUAUAGUUUAAUUUAGUUUGUGCAACAAAAAUUAGUAGAAUUGAAUUUGUGCAUAACCUGUGAAAAAAAGACAACAGCAUAAUCCCCAAAUCAGACAAUUUUAAUCAAUCUGAUAUAAACAAAAAAAACAAAAAAAAAAGUGUUGUUGAUUGAGUAAGACUGAAUAACCUAACCACUUAUGAUAAGAUGGAGGAACGAUGAAUUUCUGGGUAAAUGAUGGACAAUGAUGAACGAUGGGGAAAUAUGGUUUUAGUGUUUCAGCGAGUUCUCUAGGUUCGAUUGAUUUUUAAUUUAGGGUUUAAA